GGCAGCCGCGUCAGACCCGUGCUGCGGUGCAAUAAAGGUGAGUAAAAUCACCUUCUGCAUAGGUUGCAUGGGGCAGGGCACCUAAAUAGUAUUAUUACAGCUGUAGUGACAGAAAUACAUGUUUGUGGUCCUUUAGUGUAUAGCGAAGGAAAAACCACUCUAGAACAGUAGGCUUGUGGCUCUCAGUUAUGUUACAGAAUAUGAUGGAAUGUACUAAAAUGUUGUUUAAGCUGUACCUUUAUCUAUAUUUUGGAUACUCCCAUGUCUUAGAAGUGAUUACAUGGUCACUACAAUUAUCAGGUUUGAACUUUAACACAAAACAAAGUAACUGUAAUUUAACCGUUAAAAAAAACCAUUACUGAAAUCAUACAUUUCCUUUUACUGUAACAGUAGUCCACUUUGGAUCAGAUGUUUUUCGCUCCUUGUCUCAAGUGCCUGAGCAAUUAACUUUUUAUAAAUUGGAC